rnacentral:lncRNA from 1 species
UGGAUAUUGCACUCACAUGAUCCUUUCUGGGUUCCAGGUUAUGGAAUACGUGUGAAAAUCUGCAGUUGGGUCGAACCAAAGUUAGAAUUGCUGCUCUCUGUUGCCUUUUCCUUGGCUGAAGACGUUAGUGUGAAGAAAAUACGGGUCACGACUUAGAUUCCCUAAGAACUCGAAGUCUAUCUCAUCAUGUGUCGAUCCUUGCGAAGAUAACUGCACUAAGUACAGCUCAAAAUUUCACCACAAAUGACCAGAGCCCAGAAAUGCGGGCAGAGGAAGUGAAAAACUUAUAGUAGGCGGUGACAGUGCCGGUUGAAUUUCCAGGUUCAAGUUUAAGCUGCAUAUCGAUUUUUCCGAACAGAAAUUCAUUCUUGAACUGGAAUCCAGAGUCAGAAGCCUUGUCCAGUGAGAGCGUGAGAAGAUCACCAAUACCGAGUAUUUUAGCCCGACCAUCUCCCCAUGUUAUGUCGAAAUCUUGUAGAAGUUACCUGCAGAGACAUCGUUAAUU